AAGAAGCUGUGAAUCUACAGUUUGGAAGACGCAAUCCAAUGGAAAUCCCCGAUGGAACCAGCUAUCUAUAGCCUACUCUGAUCCUGAAAUGGGUAGAAAGGAGGGUGGUGAAAUUAUAAAAUCUCAGUGAGUAAACAAACACCAUUUAAAUCAGCUAAAGCUGAGUAAAAGGAGACAAACAAAAUAUCCCAUCAUAUUAUGUAUUUCUCAAUUUGAAAAUUCAUCCCAACUCAUGCAAACGAUUGUAUUUCAUUUAAUUUCUCAUUAAGGCUUAUGACUUCCAUAAACAUUUGGCUCAUGCCAUCAAAUAGUACUCGAUUACACCUUGAUCAGAGGUGUACACUCGAGCCCGCCAAGGCUGUUAAAAUUUCGUAUACACUUAAAACAUAUCUUUAGUUUGAAAAACAUAGCCAUUCCUUGGCGUUAGCUGAGUUCCCCUUCACGUGGUGGUUUGGUGUAAAGUGAACCCUAAGCUUUACCCCAGGAGAUACCCUACGCGCCUCUCUGUUCGAGGUAAGAAUAUAAUGAGGUUUACCGUGCCCCUCAAAAAGGCUAAUCCACAGAAACCCCCUACUGCAGUGAUUAAUUAAUAUAUAAUCCACCAAUCAAUAAAAUUCAUUCUAGCAUGACAUGGCAAUUAUUAUAAUUCACAGCCCUUCAAGGCUAAAUACACAUUUCAUAUAUUUUAACACCAAUACCAAUUCAGCCAUUCAUGCAAAUACUGUCAUAAGCCAUUAGAUUCAAAUCAUAAACUUAAUUCAUAACAAGUGGUCUCCAAUUACUCUAUUUUUCAAAAUCAUUAUUCAAUUUUAAAACAAUUUAUAAAAUCUUUUCAUGUAAACACAUUUUGUUUGUAAAACUCAAGAUUUACCAUUUAAUUUCAUUUUCAUAAAAUUUCAUUAAAAUUGAUUAAAAACAUACUUUAGAUAAUUAAAAUGAUGGUAAGGUUACUCACAGUACUAGGAGUUCGAUAUACUCCUAUUCUCGAUCUUCGGGCACAAUCUCUUUACCCUUGUUAGAGGGCUCACCACCUAUACAUCAUACGUGACACGAAUUUCAAUAAAUUGUGUCAAUUCAUCAUAAACUUUUUCAGGCUUUCUAAAUCUAAAUGAAUGCAUGCGAUGGGAUGCAAAAUGUCUGAUUAAUCACUUAAAUGUGAUAUUCGACCUAAGUCGCACUAUACUCGCCCUAAUCGGCUAAAAUCUCCAAUUUAACUCCAAAUAAAUUCUUCUCACUUUCUACACUCUAAUUUUACCUAAAUUACCUCAGUGACUGUGAAUGAGAUUCAAUUUAUCAGUCCUGGGUCAAAAUCACACAUGUUUAUAUGUUUAGCAAAAAUUUGUAUUUUCGCACCAAAAUUUCCCAUUUAAUUUCUAGCCUCACCAAACAUCAAAUAUCACCAAAAUAUCAUGGAAUAUCAUCAAAUUCAGCCACAAUAUUCUCCCUAGGAAAUUCGGCCAAUGAUGGUAAUGGGGGAAAAUGAAUUCUUUUCUUGUUGUUUUGUUUCUAAAUAUGCUAAACUAACUUAAAACACUAACAUAACUUAAAAUCAAAUCAAUCUAACUUCAUUCUCUCUCCAUACCCAUUUGGGUAGCCAUGAAUUCACCAUGAAAACAUAAAAUCUAACCAUGGAAAAUAAAGACAAAAGCAUGGGAAAGGUAGAUCAUAAGCCAAAAUCAAGAAAUUUUACCUUUGAUUGCUUGAUUUCUUGAAAUCCCACACUUUUUCUUUAAUUUUCCCACCUAGGUUUCUUGUUUU
rnacentral:lncRNA from 1 species